AGUGGACAGCAGUUUGUUUGUAUGGGACUAGCCAAUUUGCUAUGAGAAGGGGGACUGGAUGCAGUCUUAACUCCUCCGGUAGGUUCUCACCAAGAUGUUGGUGGAGAAUUCUGUUCUGGGGCAUGGGUGCAGGGAGUGCCCCCAUGGCCAUCUAGGGAGUUGUGCAUUGUUUCAUUUAUCUGCUCAGCUCCAGUUUGGGCUAGUUUACUGAGAGAGUAUGAGUAGAGAUGUUUGUCUGU